AUUUAUUUAGUUACUAUUCUCUGCUUAUUUCAUACGAAUUUCAUAGUCUACAGCCUACUUUAUCUAUUAUGUGUGUAACUUAAAAUCAUUGGAAUAAUUAUUCUUGCAUCAACAUUAGUGUACGUGCCAAAUAAUACGUGCAGUACACCUUCAUACGCUAUUGAUUAUUUCCUGUAAAUGAAGAAUUUUAAUAUAAUGUACAAAAUAUAUAAAAUUUAGCAUUAAAAUUGUCGCACAUAUAUUUAAAAAUUAAUUGGAUUAAAGCAUUUUUCAAAAUUUCUGAGAAUGUAAGGCCAACGUAAGAUUUUACACGGAACUAGUUUCCAUUUUCGCGCGUAAGACUACGUCAUAAAGACAGAGGAGGGGGUAUAGACAGCGGACUUCAGACGCGCAGCGUAGACUUCCCUUAGUCAUCUUACGACUGUGCUGUGAGGAGGGUGUUUUGCUCGGUGGUUUCAAAUCCUUUGUGUGCAGUUGUGUGAAUCUCUUCUGUAUUGUUCUACAACAAACAGGAGCCGGAUACAGUCUCACCGUUCGAGAUGGCAUUGGGACAAGCGGAGGGAGUUGGUGUUCGCAACGAUGCUGAAGCGCACUGCACGCUCGGGGACCCCAUGUUCUCCAGUCUCUGCGCCUUUCGUUGGCUUAGUUUAUAUAUUAUAUUGUAUGCAUUGGUUUGGUAAUAUACGUAAUAAUGAGCGUUCGAAGUAUGUUCGAAGAGUGUUUGAUCCGAUAUUUUUUAAUUUCAGAAAUAUAUACUUUGCAUGUCUUAUAUUUUAAAGAAAAUUUGUAUAGUACAUUUUAGCUUGUAGAUUUAGUAGUAUCGUUUCUAAUAUUCGCUCCAUUAUUCUGUACGUCAAGAUUUUGUAUAUUUGCUUAAUGUUGAUUAACAGUUUUGUAGACUUUAAGAAAUGAAAUGAAAUUAAUAAAAUUUGGAAAAUGUUUACAAUUUUUCUGCAAUCUUCUAGUUCAUAUUAAUGGCAAAAGUGCUUUUCUGCCCCGCAUACUACACACAACAAAAUUCUGUCGCAGGCAAGAGACCCGUACAUGUACCCAGGCUGUUGGCCGUCAUCGGUAACAUUAUUUGGCCUGUCUGUGUAUGAGAUAAGGAGCGACGAGAGAGGAUUGGUACGGCAUAAGGAAGGGGGGAAAUGUGUUUCUUUUUAGAAAAUCGUGCAUGAAGUUUUCUGGCUGACGAAUGGGUUGCACCAUGAUCAAGUUGUACAUAAACGUCUCAUCUCUCUGCACUUCCGUAUCUUGAACAUCCAAGCAUCAACUAAUUCGAAAAUCGUCUGACGCGCGAUACUCAUAGGCUUAUUGUGACGAACUACAGCUAAUUGUAGCAAAUCUUAUUUGGUGGGCUCUAAUACCUUUCGUACGUUAUCUGGGCAAAUGUGUUUUCUCAUGUCCGGGAAAGUUUUUUCAUAGCUUGUACCACCAGGUUGUAUGGGAGUUGUCGAAGCACACAAGACAAGCCUCCGGUGAAUAUCAAUAAGGAGAGACAGCGCUAGGGGUAAUGGCCCCCCCUAACGCCAAUUCAAUAGUCAGGAAAUAUUAGGACUGGCUAGAACUAGAGAACGCGUGAAGGGGGUGCAACUGAAGUUAAUUCAUAAGAGAAUCCUGGAGCACCUCUGUCAUGCGCGUCGGGUGGUCAUCGUGGAGUUUUAGUCGGUAAGAGUCCGACACUACUCUGCUGUUACGCAAUUACUGCAACAGCGGAGUGUCCAUGAGGAUUUCUCCACGUAAAAAAAAAAAAAAAAAAAAAAGG